AACGCAUAUUGCGCUCUCUGGUAUUCCGGAGAGCAUGCUUGUUUGAGUAUCAGUAAACACCUCAAAAUCCUGAUUGUUUUCUUUUUUUUUUUUUCUUGGAAAUGAUCAAGACUUUGGAUUAUGAGUGAUCCCAAGACUUUUUGCAAAGAAAGAGGCGGGCCACUUGAAAUUUAGGUGCAGCUGGAUUUUUUCAUCUGAGCUAAAAGCAUAACUUAUUUAGUCCCGUCAAAAAGGAUUAUUACUUUUGCUCUAGCUAAUUUUAAAGGAUGAUUGUCCAAUUUGCUGACUGAUGCAGGAAUUUAACAGAAGCGAAAGCUCUCUCUGUUCAACUCGAUCUCAAAUCAAGUAAGACAACCCGCUGAACUUAA
rnacentral:misc_RNA from 1 species